CUCGGGGCAAGCAGGAUAGAAGUUGAGAGCCAUGAUUUGCGAGCAGCCAUUGAAUGCCUUGUCGAUGUAAUCCUUUGGAAGAUCCAAGCUCUCGGAGAUGAGCUCCAGGAGGAACUUUGCAAGGUUGCGAACGCGAGUGGAGUAAUCGGCAGUAACUUCCCUAUAAGAUGAUCAUAUACCAGCGAUGUUAAGAAAGGAUGGCAAGAAGGUAUUUAUACCUGUAAGAUGCUGGCUUUUCAGGCCAGAGUUCUUGCAUCUCGGCCAGUGGGAGGCAGCUAUGGCGGAGGUAAUCUCUCCAGCUAAAGACCUUGUCUUGUGUUACAUUGAAGCUGGUUCCAUACCUCAUUCGGGAUUCGGUGUCUGUGGAGAAGUAGCGCAUUUUCUCCUCGUUUGGGAGAGCGUGGAAUUCGCGAGCCACCGAUUGCAUUUCAUCCACCAAAGAAUGGGGAACACCGUGAUUGAUCACCUGUAUGGCGAAGAUCACACAAUUCUCGAUCAAUUCUAUACCCAGUGAUGGAACAAAGAGAUUUUGGGACAUCCACCACCCAGCAAGAACAAUAGCACACCUGGAAGAAGCCCCAUUUCACGCAAGCUUCACGGAUUUGCGGGACAAGCGCUGCUCGAGCCUCGCUCGAAUUCAAGGCGGCGCCAAGAUCCAGGACUGGGAAGCUUUCCUCGCGAUGAACGGCAUUUGGGCGCUCCUCUUUGGAUCGGAUGUAAAUGCCGGGCAGCUUGUCCAGGCCCGAAUCCACCAGAUUCUUCACACCCAAGUGGAGUGGAAGAACUUCGGCGGCCAUUGUUGAGCUCUUCGCAAAGAUAAGCUUCCUCUGGUUUUAUACUAAACCUUUCUUGGGGGAUACGAAAAAAUGUCUUGGAUUUUCUAGAUUCUAAAAGAGGUUCGGUCAUGUGCGGCUGCUAAGAAGGAACUACGAAUCUAAAAGUUGGCAUAGCAAAAUGAACUACCGCUCAGCGGUCCAGAUGGCAUCACGAAUGGACGGACGUGAUUGCUCUAUUGGUCUCGAGGAUAUUCCAGGGCCAUGCCACGGGCAAAGGCAAUGUCGUCUUCGAGGGCGGAGGCGCCACCGUCGGCGCUCCAGCCCGCGCGGAUUCUCUUCUCCGGAGUCAAGGUACCCGAGGGGGAAGGAGGAGGAGGAAAGAGUCCUUAUCAGCGAGGUUCUUGUCCAAGAUAAAGAUGGGCAGGAGUUGGAAAACUCGGAGAUUUUGGCCACUGCUCGACAGGCUCUAAAGUCGUGUAAAUCGAAUUACGCGCUCACGACGAAAGAGGUCCAAGAGGACGUUCAUCGGAUCAUCGAGACUGGAUUUUUCGCGUCUUGCAUGCGAAGAUAGACGAGAUGGAGUCAGGCUGAUUUUCAAGGUGCUGGCUGCUGAUCCUUCUAUUUUACUUCCCUUUUGCUGCAUUCUCACAAUCUUUUCCACAGGUCGAGGCUAACCAAGAACUUCGUGGCCUUGUUUGCAAUAGCGCAAACGUUCUUCCCACGAAGGUUAUCGAGGAUGCCUUUCGAAACGAGUAUGGUAUGCCAUUUGUUUCUCUUUUCAUCUUUUUCCUGAGUGGGGAAGUAGCAUUAAGAAUGUGUUGCAUUGCUCUUUAAGUUUUGCAGGAAAAGUUGUGAACAUUCAAAGGCUUAACACGGUUCUCGACACUUUGAAUGGAUGGUACCGAGAUAGAGGCUACUUUGCACAGGUAGAUUCUUGCGCAUUCCUUUUUUUUGAGAUGGUUCUAGUGGUAGUACACAGGUGACAGACCUGGAGAUAAUGCCAGACGGUAUUCUCAAAGUACAAUUUGCUGAGGCAGUAGGUAACAACAUCAAUAUACGAUUUUUGGACAGGAAAACGUAAGCUUUUCUAGUCCACGGGAUGUGCAAAGUCAAGGCGCAUGACAAGGUAUAUGCGAAUAAUGUAGCGGACAGGCUCGCCAAGACAGGGCGCCAACUCGAGGGGCGGAAGAUCCAGUGGUUCCACGUAGAAAGGUCUGGUGCGAUUGUGAAAUUGUGAAAUAUAGUGAGAUUAUAUUUUAAUGUAGUGUUGAUACAUUAAUAACUUUUUCUUUCCCUUUUUUUGAAAAGGCUUGGUUAACUAAAUUGUGAGGAAAAUAUUUGGCCUAUGCAGGUUUCGAACCUGCGACCUUGGCGUUAUUAGCACCACGCUCUGACCAGCUGAGCUAAUAGGCCUUAAACAAUCAAUGAUGAUUUUAAUUUAAUCAAAUAAAGAAUUUAUGAAGCAAUGAGCGCUCUGGACAGGGUUCGAACCUGUGACUUUCUGGUUACUAUCCACAGACGCUCUAUCCACUAGCUAGAUUUUCAUUAAGUUCAAAUUAUGGUACAAGAUCUCAAAAAUACCUAUUGGAGGAAGCAAAGUCCAUGGCUGCUUGGUGCUGCUUAAGUUGAUGCCCAUUAAGUGACCUUCAUCCUCUGUUAUAAUCUCAGCAUCUCUCAUGUCUCUAUUGAGCACACUAGUUAGACAUGAUAUAGCUUCAGUUUGCUUAAGUAGAACCUGGAAAACAAACACGCCCUGAUAAGAAUAGAGAGCUACUGGAAUCAAAAUAUUGCACCUCUUGAAUAUCAGUCAAGCUUUGCUCAUCAAGUUGGCCUGGUAGAAAGGAUGCAUUUCUCUAUGCUGCAUGAAAUUGACAAGACCGAGUCCACUUUUCUUGGAAGCUCUAUUGUUGGCUGGAGCUAAGAAAGUAAAGGGGAGUGUUUUAGCUAGUUAUGCCUCUAGUUAUGGCCUUUUAGGGGACAAUAUUGUAGCAUAUGUAGUUUUCACCCUUAAGAUUUACCAUAAGAUAACUAUGAAGUAGAACCUAAACCCUCCAUAUGCCAUGUGUUAUAUGCCACAUGCCACAUGCCAUGUGUCCAAAAGACAGUGGAGUGGAACCCGAGUUCAAAGGCCUUGGGCCAUUGAAUGAAGGAACAGUGCUAAACUCUCAAGUAUAGAGCCAAGGAGCAUUAGCACUAGAGCAUAGAACAAUUCCCAAACAUACAACCCAAGAAGCAAAGGGAUAAAAGCACAAAGUAACUUAAAUCAGUCCUAAAGUAUCCAACAUCCCAAUGCCAAGGCCAACAUGCAAAACAAAGCUAAAUAAAGUUUGGCGCUCUUUUAGCAUACUGAUAGCUUAACGCAAGGAUAUGAGUACUCCACCAGCUAGCAUGGAAUGGAACUUGGGCUUAAACCCAAGCCGGAUGCAAAACAAGGACAGACACACAAGCAAGAGCUAAAUUAUGCCUCAGAUUGGUCAGUUAUGCCCACCUACCCACUAUUCCUACUAUGCAUUUGGAACCCCCCAUAUCCCACCCCUCUGAGGAACACAUGCUUUGGGCUUUCACCCCAAAUUUCCCUUAAUACCAGGAGGUAGUCUCUAAGACAAACUUGAAAUUUACUAAAUAUGGAAUGUCUUUAGAUUGCAAAUUUGGAUACGGGACAAACACCAUUGUGUUCAGAAGAAUCUCUACAUUCCGUAGAUAUACCAAAUGAGCAAAUCUAGAUACUUUCCAUAAAUAGCAUUUAGGACUAAAAUGAAACUAACACAAAGGGCAUGAUAGCAAGGGUGUUUGGCAAACAUAAUAAGCUAUCAUCUAGCGAUAUUGAGGGAUUAGUUUCAAUAUGUGAGGGUUUUUGUCACUAGCCAGUGCAAGACAUAACGAAACAGAAACUCUUUACUAGGCUAAGUAUGCUUAGUUAAUAACACGUAGGAAUUCUAUCCUUAUACUCGUCCCGUUUAAGUACACUUGAAAUGCCCAGUUAACUCCACUAACACAAAAGGGACUGAUAAAGGGUUCAACAAUACCAACCUCCUGCCGUCAUGGUAGUAAGGAAAGAAUAAUCAAAAGGACAAUUGAUAGGUAACUUUCGAUACCUGAAGUUACAUUCACGACAAAUAUAAUGUUUUGGAAUUUCUUAUAAUAAAGAUGCCUUCUAAGAAUUUAGGUUCUAGGUUAGGAAAAGUAGUCUUCCAACCACAUUGGAGGCAAUCUUGAUUGAAGAGGCAUUGGCUCUUAGAAGCUUGGUAGAGCUGUUUUUUCUCCUCCUCCCUUCCAAAGGCAAUGCUCUCAAAUAAUAUUUUGACUGUUUUAAUUUCUUUAUUAAUUAAAUCCUAAAAUUUCCCUUCUAAUAGCAUGUUGUAUAUUAUGUAUAUUAGAACUCCAAUUAAAUAUGAAGAAUUAAAUAAGCCCAUCCUUCCAACAAAGUUUCCAAUUCACAGAACAAUGCUAUUUCCAAUUUAUUUGAAUGAUAGAUAAAAGAAUCCUCAAAUAAUCACUAAAAGCUGUGGUGAGGGGAGGUGAGGACUUCCAAGGAGAUGAAAGAGCCUCUUUAGCUAUAACAAGGAAACCUUCUUGGUGAAGAGUGCUUCUUAUUAAACACCAUCCUAAUUCACUCUCUCUCUACUCACCUAGCAGUGAUGUGGCAUGAUGCUUUCUUUUUGUUUUUUCCUCUAGCGCACUCCCUCUCCCAUCCGUCGCUGCUGCACACUCCUGCCCAUGGCUAUUGCCUGCCCACCCGCUCGCCCUCAACUUGCCCACCCACACAUCUGCCUGUGCCCAACGUGCACCCUAAUUAUUUUCACGUGGCCACAACCCCAACACUUAGCCAAAUUUCAAUUAGCAUGCCCUGUUCCACGUGGUUAGUUGCCCCAUAAUUGACCUAAAAAAGUUUCCAUUCACGCCUACACCUUGUUCCACAUGGUUAGUUGCCCUAUAAACAUUUCUGUUUCUUUUAUGAUCAAGCAUGGUGGCAGAAUAUCAAUUUCUAGAGGUAAGCAAUCAAUUCAACUUCAUAAUAAUUCAAGAAAAUCAUUCAGGAUCCCCUAUGGCUUGAUGAGGUGUAAGAAUUCCAUGAAAAGGAUUAUUUUUAUGCAGAUGAUUUAGAUUGGAAUUUGUCUAAAUCAAAUGAAAUUAUAGCUUCUAUUGUGUAUAUAUUACAGUAGGAUGUGAAUAGGAUUCUAAAUAGUGAGAAGAGAAGGGGUGAUGGAGUGGAUUUUUUCUCAAUUUUCCAAUAAAAAUCAUGAUCUUGGAGAUUUAAAAUGACCCAAAAACACAAGCUUUUUAUCAUUAAUCAGAUAUAUUUUUAACAAAAUAUAAUUACUAACUUCUUGACACAGGUAUUGGUGUGAAUAUGGAAAACAAGAUGCUUAUAAAAAAUCCUCUACAAUUGCUAAAUCUACACCAAAGUCAGGACUUGGAAGUAGAUUGGAAGUAGUAGUAGGUCAAAGUUCUACCCUUGCAAUUUUUUUGUCAAACAGUUUUACAAAUGGCUUGAUUAUUUGCAGAUCACAUAUUAUCAUAAAGAGCAUUGUGAUAAGAAUGGGAUUCCCUGUCAUGGUUAAUUUGAUUUGAAUGGAGGAAAGUCAUUAUUUCCUCAGCAGAUAUUUGACAUUGGGUGGUUCAUAUGAUCCAGCAGAAUUUCACAUCAAAUUAGAUUUAUAAUGAGGAUAUGCAAAUUGUGGGAAGGAACAAGUCAACCAGUGAACCUCCUUGUCGAGAUGAUUUUCUAACUAUGCAGGAUAUUAAUAAUUUGCAUAGGAAGCAUUUGCUUUCAACUUAUUGACUACAUGAGAAUGAUGCACAACACGUAUUUAAAAAAACACAAAUCCCAAGAAAGUAUUUUUCUAUUAGAAAGGUGAUUGAGGUAAAGAUUAUUUUACCAUAGGGAUUCAAACACCUUGGCAACUGCAAAAAAUGGUGGACUUUGCAAAUAAUAAUUUGUUGAGUCUUGAUGCAACUUUUAAAACUAAUUAUUACAAGAUAAAAUUUUGGAAUUUCAACAGCACGUUGAUAGUUAUAAUAUAUCCUCCAAGCAAGCAAAACCUUUGGUGGAAAGAAUUACAAGUAAAAGAAAAGCUUCUAGUAGCCUAGAAGCAAUUCCUUUUACUAGGCAAAGGAACAACAAGAAAGAAAAGCUCUUUAAACAAAAAACUUAAUCUUAGCAAAGAAUAAAUUUAUAAAAAAACUCUUUAUGUACUUGCAUUGCAUAUGUUUAGAUUAGUGAGAAGAUUUCAUAGCAAAAGUGGAUCACCACUCCUAUUGUUGAUCAUGGUCAUCCAUGACACUCAUUGGCACGUAAAAAGGCAUCCAUGCAUGCGCUGAUUGAAAUUGGGGUUGUGGCCACUUGGAAAUAAUUAGGGCGCAUGCUAGGCGUGGGCAGGGAGUGCAGGUCGGGUGAUAGCUACAGGCGGGAGUGCGCAGCUGCAACAGAUGGGAGAGGCAUGAUGCCACAUCACUGCCAGGUAAGCAGAGAGAGAGAGAGAGAGAGUGAAUCAGGAUGGUGUUUAAUGGAAGGCACGAAGAGUGCUUUUAUUCUAGUAGUUAUGGUAUCAUGGAGAUUUUAAGCUUUUUAAGUUUAGAAAGUGCAUUGUGUUCAAAAUAGGAGUUUAAUUAACUUCCAUUUCAAAAUCAAAUUAAAUCCUCAGAGUGUCCAAGAGCCACUGGCGAUUAAGUCCCCCAGCUUGCAAAGCCGUCAUAUAAUCCUUAUAAACCAUAGGCUUAAACACUGGAGAGCCCUCCACCAAUUUGCUCGCUGGGUGCACCAAACUCUGCCAAUUUGGCCCUAUUGCCACUGGAAUGGACAUUCGAUCUUCACUGCUAUUAACCACAGCCCUGUGCUGGGCACUCUUAUACUUGUCAUUGCUCAAAAUCUGCAAGAGAAUAAAAAGAAAACAUUAACUUUGACCAGUCAGUCAAUGCUAGUGAACGAGAAAGAGUGAACGCUGACCUGGAUCUGGUCGCCCAGAUUGACCACGAACGAAUAAGGUAUGGGCUUCACGGAGUACCACUCGUUACCGUGCAUCACCUGGAGACCCUCGACGUGAUCUUGGAGCAGCAGCGUGAUCGAUCCGGGGUCCGAGUGUGGGCCGAUUCCCAGCACCAGAUCGGGCUCGGGGCAAGCAGGAUAGAAGUUGAGAGCCAUGACUUGCGAGCAGCCAUUGAAUGCCUUGUCGAUGUAAUCCUUUGGAAGAUCCAAGCUCUCGGAGAUGAGCUCCAGGAGGAACUUUGCAAGGUUGCGAACGCGAGUGGAGUAAUCGGCAGUAACUUUCCUAUAAGAUGAUCAUAUACCAGCGAUGUUAAGAAAGGACGGCGAGAAGGUAUUUAUACCUGUAAGAUGCUGGCUUUUCAGGCCAGAGUUCUUGCAUCUCGGCCAGUGGGAGGCAGCUAUGGCGGAG
rnacentral:lncRNA from 1 species